rnacentral:tRNA from 1 species
GAGACCCUAGUAAAAAAAUUACAUAGCAAUGUCAACGCUAUAUUACAGAACUAUUCUGUGGGCCUUA